rnacentral:lncRNA from 1 species
GCUUUCUCCACUAUUUUCUUUCUAACAUUUUCUCCCAUUUUCCACCGAUGAUUGAUUCGUCCCUGUUCCCUGGUUCACCUGGAUUCGCAGACCUUUCCUGAGUUGGUGGAGGAGUCGUUGCUAGAUGAUUGGGAUUUCCGGCAGGUGGAAUCGCAUCAGAGGAGGCGCAAUUUCUGGACUCUCCUCCUCAGCAACUACAUUUUUUGAACGAGGGUUUUGGUUUGGUUUUAACAGAUGAACUAACAAAAAGGUGCCGACAUCGGUUGAUUUAUAGAGCGAGGAUGGAUAAGAAAUUAGAGGCAGCUUCAUCUUCUUCAUCAGUUGAUUAAUUUCUCAGUUAAGAUCCACAUGGUAGAAGAGGAGUAGAAAAUGGACUGUUUGCAUAAUUGGUGGAUCCGUUGUUCUUCAAUCGCUAGAAAAUUUGGUGAAUCUGUCAUUGUUACUUACUACAAGGAGCUUCCUAACUCCAGGUAGAAGGAGAUGAUAUUAAAACAGAUGAGUAUUAUGGAAGAGCAAUACUAGCGACUCCUAGAGACGGAGACCUUUUGUCUUUGUAUGGCAAACUAAUUUGGGACGUACAGGCCAUUAGCGUCUCUCCUGGUGACUGUAGGGUUAUGGGAUCAUUAGCACAAUUUAUGUAGGAUGCAGUCCGGAUCUAAGGUGCCGGUUCCUGCCACAAAAGCGAUAUGAUAAUUGCAGCUUUUGCAGUCGUAACCAUCGAGGGAUGAUAGUGGUCUGGAGCCUCAACCGUCGUCUUCGGCGUAGCCAGUGGCGAAGCUUGAAAAUUUCCACCGGUGGGUCGGAAGUCAGCGGACCUAAAAGUAUAUACCUAUUUUUUUUAAAACCGGGGGGUCGAAAACGUAUAUACCUAAAAAAUUCUAUACGGAACGUACAUACAUAACACUACUGAGCGAAAAGUUCAGGGGGUCGCCCCCUAGCACCGCGACCCUUCAUAGCUUCGCCGCCGCGUAACGGCUUCCGAUAGUAAUUCCGGUAACGACAGAAGGGAUGACAUCAGUCAUCAACUGCAAGCCAGUUUUCCGACGAAGAGGGUUAUAUGACCAAAUCGGUCGGCGAUGACUAUGACACAUCAGCAUGGAGUUAAAAAGAUGCCUGCUUUAGUUAAUUACAGAGGUUCAUUCUAUGAGGGAAUUUCUCAUUUUAGUAGGAUCUUUCCAAUUAAAUAGCUUAAUAGCCAUAUUGGUAGCGGUUGGGAUGAUUUUAGCCACAACAAUUCACGUGGCUCGGACCUAGCUUUAUGAUUAGUUCGUCAUAAGAAGAAUCUGAUCUGUUUUAGUAUACGGAUCAACCUGCAUCACCUCAGGUGAGUAGCCACUCACGUACGUAAUUGUUAUAGGGCAUUGUAUUGCCUGCCGAACGUGGUGCCGCAUCGCUACGAGACCGAAAAAGACAGUGCACCACGAUACCCAGUUCCUAUCUAGGAUGCCCGAGGAGUAUGAGUUGACGCUACUGAACGUUUGCUACUGAACAGGUUUAGUAGCAUCAAUAAUUCAAACAUGCUACACUGUUCAUUGAGUCAUUCUAGAGUGCAGGGGACCUGUAUGAGAAGUAUGUUUGAUACAUGUCGAACCAUAGUUAAAAAAAAAAACAACGAACCGAAUACGUUGAUUCCAUUUGGCCAUAUUAUAACUAUUAUCUUUGGGUUUUUUUUUCCGUUUGCCAUGGUGAGCGCAUCGUAGUGU